CUCCUCCAGAUUCCUUACCCCUCAGAUCUAAAUGUUGGUCUGAGUGGCCAAAAAAGAGGGAAACUAAAACUGAAGCAGAAUUGGAGUCUUCAAAGAGUUACAAGUUCAUUUCAAACAAAU
rnacentral:snoRNA from 1 species